UCCUAAAUCACCUAAGUUUACUCUAAAAAAAUCAACUGAGUUUUGUAAAUAUGGUUUCGUAGAUAUUCUAGCCUAAACAAAUUGUUUGUUUUGUUUGCAGGGCCUUACUAAAUUUUAAAAGGAUGUCAAAGCAACAUUUUUGAGGUUUUGUGCACACGCCCAAGCAAGAAGCUUCAAGGUCCACUUCUAGGAGUCACCUACAAAAAUCUCAAGCUAUCAAAGAAAUGCCCAAGAAAAGGAAACCAUCACCAAGUACUCUCCGGUGCAGUACAAAUCAAUACUAGUUGCUCAUGCAGAUGGAAGAAACAAGGGGAAAACAUUGGAAAAGGAGUUUGCAAUCAGGAUGAACAAGUUCUCAAGCUAUAUGUGGCAGCCAUUACAGGGACCUUCGGAUGAGGGGCAAGGGAGGAGAGGGGGCGUGGGGAGAAGAAGCAGAAGGGCGUGGGAACGGCGCGUCUAGAGCGCUCCCUCUCGCUGGGUGGAUGAGGGACACGAGAGACGGUGGACCCUCUCACUUUCCAAAUCUGGACAAGGGAACCGAAACCUACCUAAUAUGGGAGGCUGCUAGGAGGCGCUAGCGGGCAGACGUUUGCCCGCUAGUCG